rnacentral:rRNA from 1 species
UACAGGGGUCUCGAGCGUUAAUCGGAAUCACUGGGCUUAAAGGGUGCGUAGGCGGAUCUGUAAGUGUCCUGUGAAAGCCCCCGGCUCAACCGGGGAACCGCGGGGCAAACUGCAGAUCUUGAGGAAGCUAGAGGCCGGUAGAACGAUUGGUGGAGCGGUGGAAUGCGUAGAUAUCAAUCGGAAUGCCUAAAGUGAAGACAGCCGGCUGGGGCUUUCCUGACGCUGAGGCACGAAAGCGUGGGGAGCAAACAGG